rnacentral:rRNA from 1 species
CGUGUAGGCGGUCGAGUAAGUCGAGGGUGAAAUAUCUACGGCUCAACCGAGAAAUUGCCCUCGAAACUGCUGGACUUGAGUACGGUAGAGGUGAGUAGAAUUCCCAGUGUAGCGGUGGAAUGCGUAGAUAUUGGGAGGAAUACCGGUGGCGAAGGCGGCUCACUGGACCGUCACUGACGCUGAGACGCGAAGGCGUGGGGAGCGAACG